GUAAGUCUUAUAUCACAACCACCUCCUAAAAUCAAAAUGGAGCUGUUUCUGUAGGAGUCAGACUACCUCCUUUAGAGGAUAUGGGAGUAGUCCAUCACUCAUUCAGACAGUUUUAUUAAGCGUGAUAUAGUCUACCUCUCUCAGCACUGGGCGUGGUGCAUCUCCUAUUGUUAGGCAAUUCCCUUACUUCCUGAUCCUUCAAUUCACUUACUUCCUGAUCCUUCAAUUCACUUUCUUUAUAAUUACGAAAUGGUCUGAGAUAACCAGGUUCCCCUUGCUCAAGCUUCCAAAAAUCAGGCUGACAAGUUACAUUUGGACAUCUGCUCUUCAAAAGCCAAAGGCAGAGUUUUCUGUUAAAUAAUGAGCUGUCCAAGCAUAUUUUGAUUCAUUCAGGCCACAUACAGCAGCAGGAGUUUCUGGGUGGUGCCUCAGGUCUAAAUUUUACUGUAAUCCUACAGGUUAGAAAUCAAUGAGCUGAUCAGAACAUAUCCAGUUUCCAAAGAUAUGAGUGGCACCAUCAAUAUAAAUUAGUUCUCCAGUAAUGUCAAAGGGCACACUUAGCAGUGCUGUCAGAACAACCAGAAAAACCACAUUCAAAAGGGAACACAGCCUAAGGCACACAACUCAUGAUAAAUACCUGGGAAAAAACCAGUUAGCUCUGCCUUUAGCUGUUCCCACCCCAAUUUUCACGAUUAAAACUACAAUCGACAUACUAAUUAGUCGGCAGACAUCUCUAUAAUGUUUAUACUCCUAAAAAACAUGUUAUGUUGGUUAACUGAACCUAUACAAUACUUAGAAAUCUCCCUAAAGUUAUCCUAAAAACAAAACAAAAACAAAAACUUUGCAAGCUUUCUGAGUUCAAACCUGUAAUUUUGUUACCUAUCAGUGCUUUAUAAAAGAGCUAAGAUAAUUAUAAGGAACAAGCCUCCUAAAAUGUAAAAUUCCAUUGUUCCUCUACUACCCGCCCAUCAGUGGCAAAUAAACACCUUACCAUGACAUUCACUGUGAGUAUUGCUAGCGGGAGAAGUGGAGGAGAAAGCAGUCAAUUAUACCUGAUGAUCAGGGAUGGAGAGAGACAGGAGGGAUGCUGAGUUGGCCUUGAAGGUCAAGUCCCAAGCUGGGCCACUAUCUGAUUGGGAGAUAGAAAGUGAGAGGAGAAAGGCAUUUCUGGAAAGAAAUCCCUGGGGGCAAAUAUUCUGCAGCACUGAAGGCACACAGGAUUAGUUCAGUUACUAAAGUGCGGGUAGACAGGGGAGGAAGAAGAAGAGAGUUGGAAGAGGAGACUGGAAAGCAGACUGAGGCAAGGCUGGGAAGGCCUUGGGUGCUAGCGGCAUUUGGAAUUUGUGUGCUAAGCAGGGAGAGGCCAUCUGAGUUCUCCCAUGCAUUGAGUAAACAACACGUCCCGACCUCGUGGCAGGUAUUCAGUCAGCUGCUGGUGAGCAACGUGGCUCCUGUCCCUAUGAAGCUUAAAGUCUAAGGUAAGGCAGACCCUAGGAAUUCGGCGCACAGAAGCCUCUCUGCUGUGAUGGAGAAGUAACAGGGACGAUGAGGACAUAGAGCAGGGAAGGGGGCCUAGGAAGCUAUUCUGGAAGAAGUGAGUUGGUUCCUGAAGUUGAAGCACCUGCAGAGGUGAGGAGGUGGGGAGCAGAAGUGCAGGAUCCAUCUGUGCAAAGAGGCUGGGGCCUCAACAACAUGAACUGUUUUAAUCAGAUUUGCAUUUUAGAAAUGAUAACCCUAGGCCUGGAGCGGUGGCUCAUGCCUGUAAUUCCAACACUACGGGAGGCAGAGGCUCUACUAACAAAUCUCUACUAAAAAUACAAAAAUUAGCUGGGUGUGGUGGUGCAUGCCUGUAAUUCCAGCUACUCAGGAGGCUGAAGCAGGAAAAUCUCUUAACACAGGAGGCAGAGGACGCAGUGAGCCAAGAUCACACCAUUGCACUCCAGCCUGGGUGACAGAGCGAGACUCUGUCUUAAAAAAAAAAAAAAAAAGAAAAGAAAGAAAUGAUAACCCUGACCAAGGACUCCAGGAAAAGAUGGUGUUAAUCUGUGGCCAAGACAAGAGUGCAGAAAGUCCUUACUGUCCUCUGGCAACAGGGGCCAAAGGCGGAGGCUAAUAAGGUGGUGCAGACAGAAAGGGUGGGAUUUCUGGCAGAACUUUCAGAGGCAGAGGCAGCAUUUUACAACUCACUUCAUCCGGGCAGGGGGUCUGGGAGGAAAAACAUUGAAAAAGGUGCCCAGUUUCUAGCCUUAGCAACUGCUGCAGGCAGCUGAACUCUGCAAGGGUUCUUAUUUGGCCCUGACAUUCUAUACGCACUUAUUAGCAUUUUAUUCAAGAAGAGGGUGGUUCCCCCAAAUGUUUCCAUAUUUAGCCAAAGGAAGCUAAAUUUCAAACUUCAAGUGUCUACUCAAACCUAAGACUGAACCCCUCAAUUUCCCUCAUAACUCCAUUAUCCCCCAGGCUUCCUCACGUCAGUAAAAGGCAACCCCAUCUCCCAGGUGCUCAUGCCAAACACCUAGAGUCAUGCUGGAGUCUCAUCUUCCCUCCUACCCUGCUCCCUAUUCAUCCGUAAGCCCUAGGCUCUGCCUUCCAAAUGUUUCCAGAACCUAAAACCUCUCCUCACCUCCCUGCAAGCUGCUUGGCUGAAGCUCUGUUCUCCCUCACCCGGAUUAGAGGUAGCCCCAGACAGCAUGCCCUUCAGUCUAGCUCCAACAUGGAGGGCAGGCUGAUUCUUUCCAAAGGUAAUCAGAUGGAGUUACUCCUCGGCUCGAAACUCUGCAGUGGGUUCUCACUUCUCUCAGAGUAAAACCCAAAAUCUACCUGCUCUCUUUCCCUCUCAUCUACAGCCACCCUGCUGUCUCCCUGGUCCUGGAGCUUGGGGCCACACAGUGUCUGUUCCUGUACCUGGAAUGCUCUUCCCCCGUAGCCACAAGGCUUAGCCCCUCACCUUACUGUCCUAGCUCUAAUGUCACCUUUUUAGGAGCCCAAUCAAUCACCACCAUAUUUAAACCCCAGCCUUGCCAGUCCCCCUUCUUUACAUUGUUGUCCAUAGCACUUCUCAUCUGCUAUCAGACUUUAAAAUUUAUUAGGCUGGGCACAGUGGCUCAUGCCUAUAAUCCCAGCACUUUGGGAGGCCAAGGCAGGUGGAACACCUGAGGUCAGGAGUCUGAGACCAGCCUGGCCAACAUGGCGAAGCCCCGUCUCUACAAAAAUACAAAAAUUAGCUGGACAUGAUGGUGUGUGCCUGUAAUCCCAGCUACAUGGUAGGCUGGGGCAGGAGAACUGCUUGAACCUGGAGGCGGAGGUUGCAGUGAGCUGAGAUUGUGCCAUUGCACUCCAGCCUGGGCGACAGAGUGUGAGACUCCAUCUCAAAAAUAAAUAAAAUUUAUUUAUUAAUAAUCUCUUCUAACCGGAAUGUACACUCCCAGAGCAAAGGGAUUUUUGCUUAUUUUGUUUAGCUACAUCCCCAGCACCCAGAAUACAGUACAAUGUACGGUAACUAUCUUACAGAUGUUUGUUGACUGAAUGAAAAGUCACCUAUUAAUAAGGCUCCCUGAGUCACCUGGACAAAAUAGUAAGCCCUCACCUCUUUUGCCCUUCAUGCUUAUUUAUUUUUCCUUGCAUAUAUCAUCAACGUGUGAUAAAUGUUAAUACCACAUAUUAGUGUGUUUAUUCUCUUCUCCACACAAGAAUGCCAACUCCAUAGGGGCAGGAAUCUUGUCUCUUUUCUCUUUGUUGUAUGAUGAACACCCAGGACAGAGCCUGGCACAGAGGAGAUGAGAAAGAGAAGGAAGGAGAGACAGAGGUCAGGUGUGGUGGCUCAUGCCUGUAAUCCCAACACUUUGGGAGGCCAAGAGGGGUGCACUGCUUGAGCCUGGAGAGUUCGAGACCAGCUUGGGCAACAUGGUGAAACCCCGUCUCUACAAAAAGUACAAAAAUAGUAGUUGGGCGUGGUGGCAUGUGCCUGUAGUCCCAGCUACUUGAAAAGCUGAGUCGGGAGGAUUGCUUGAGCCCAGGGGUCAAGGCUGCAGUGAGCAAUGAUCAUGUCAUUGCAGUCCAGCCUGGGUGACAGAUGGAGACCCUGUCUCAAAAAAAGAAAAGAGAAAGAGAAGGAAGGAGGGGGAGAGAGACGAAAGAAAGAAAAAGAAAGGAGGAGGGAAGGAGGAAGGAGAGGGGCGGAAUGGAGGGAAAAGGAGAAGGAAAGACAGAAGAAGGAAGAGAGGGAGGAAGGGAGAAGGGAGGAAAGAGAAAGAAGGAGACAGGGAGUGCGGAAAGAAAUAGAAAGGAGGAAGGAAUUCUAACUCCAUAUUAUCAAGGUCACAGAUGAGUAGCCUAAAAUAAAAAAUUGGUUGUUCUACCUAGAGCAAGAGAUUCUGUCAGGAUUCUGUCAGAGAGCAGUGAAACAACUGGCCAUGUUUUUUUUUUUUUUUUUUUGAAAUGGAGUUUCGCUCUUGUUGCCCAGGCUGGAGUGCAAUGGUGCAUUCUCAGCUCACUGCAACCUCCACCUCCUGGGUUCAAGCAAUUCUCCUGCCUCAGCCUCCCAAGUAGCUGAGAUUACAGACAUGUGCCACCACACCCGGCUAAUUUUGCAUUUUUAGUAGAGACGGCGUUUCUCCAUAUUGAUCAGGCUGGUCUCAAACUCCCGACCUCAGGUGAUCCGCCUGCCUUGGCCUCCCAAAGUGCUGGGAUUACAGGCGUGAGCUGCUGCGCCCAGCCUAGGCAUUUCUUUAAAAUCUAUCCAUUCAUGUGCUCCAUUAGUCAAAAUAAAAGGCAAUAUCUAGUAAUGAUGCCAGGAUAAGGAGUAGGCUACAUUGGAUUCUAAUCAAAGGAGGCAUGAGUCACUGAAAAACCAUCAUCAUUUGUUGGCUGCUUUCUUCUAUAGUUUCUGAACAAUAAAUAAGAAGGAUUGGCCAAUCUUGUUACUUGGCAUAAUAAACCAGGUAAGCAUACUUGAUGAUUCAAUUCCAUUUGGAACCGAUACUACACGUUAAGGAAACAAAACUAACAUUGGCAUUCAGCUGAGUUCUGUCCAACGACCCUUUGCCUCCACUGUGUCUUGUUGGGCAUGCUGCUAUAAUUUUAAAGGUAAUGACUGUAAUAGUACCACCUCGCAUUCAUGUGAGUUCACGUGAAUUAGGCUUCUACCACUCUUGAAAGUAAUUUUAAUUAUCUCGUUUAAUGACCUUCACCUUGCAGGAAAGAAACAGAGACAUGAAGAGGUUAAGACAAGUGACGGAGGUCUCAGGGCCAGCAUGCCUGCCCCUCGUCCUGACAUAACUGAUUAGGAAAUGAUUUCUAAAUGGUCAAGAGUCCAGCCUCGAUAGCCACUUCUCUGAUUCCAACAGAAUUUCUACAGAAGACAAUUUCCUUGUCUCAGCAAGGAGGGAAUACAGAUGAAUUGGCAGGAUCAGGAGCAGCCAUGUUGCACCAAGAGAAGAUGAAAAAAGCAUAUGUUGCAGAUUGCAAAGUAACUAGGUAAGCAUUUGAGUCCCUAAAACUAUUCCUGGUAUGACUGGUAGCGGCAUACUAGCUUGGACUUUUUUGUGUCAGAGAAAUAAACCUUCAUCUCACUUAAAUCAGUAUUAUUUGGGGCCACUCUCUCUGUAGUAGGAGUGAAACUAGUAUCCUAACUAAUUUAACUGUCAAAAGAAAAAAAAAUAUGAGGCGAGAAAAUAAGGAAUCAAGAAACAAAAGUCAAGUUUUACUCACUUCAUAGCUUGGCUCAAAAGCAACUUUAAAUAUGUGAGAAAUGCAACAAAUGAUAAUCAUGCAUACAGAGAAAUUCCUCAAGUGACAAAUGCUUUUACUUUCAUUUCCUUUCUUGAAAAUUGACAGAGUAAGAUUCAGAUGCAUGUACUGACACUCACGUCAGUAACAUCGGCUCAGGUUAGACUUUGGUCGUCUUAUCCUUCGACUACCUAAGGGACUCAUGGCCAGUAUAUUUUACAACCCCCAGUGCCAGUUACUGAAUUCUCACCUGAGAAUGAAUUCCCUAAGUCUGUAAUGUUUCAUCAUCUUGCAACACAGAUAAGCCUGUGUUUAGAGCAGGCUUUUCCAUAUGAGUCCCUCCUCUUUCACACUGGGGCUGAGUAGAAGGUGAUUGACCUGCCUGAGACUUUAUCAGUUUGGAGUUCAUGUUCCAUGUGGUGUUGGAGGGAGCAAUGGAGGCUGUGAAAUCAGACAUCCUGCUUUUUGACAGGGUUGUUUGAUGACUCACCCAAGCCAUUUUUUAUUCUCGGUGCAUAUUCUAGUUUCCCUUCUCCCGACAGUAGCCUGAUGCACCUGUGCUUGCACUGUCCUUAAGCCUGUUGCUAUUGUUAUGUGGUGUCACUGAGCCCAACACUGCGUGCGUGUGUGUGUGUGUGUGUGUGUGUGUGUGUGUUGAAAGGGGUAGGAAAGUGAGGAUGAUUUUCAACCAUUAAACCCUUAAGGGGCCAUCUUCUGAAGCCUGGCAUCAUCAUUUUUGUUCUCAAGAACAUUUAAGUCAAAAAUAACAAGGUUCCUUUUGCUCAUCUUCAAAUUAUUUUACUUGUUUGAUCCAACUGCUAACUAGAAGGUGAAUUCUUUCUGCUGUCAUUUCAUAAUUCUAGUGUAUUAAAAAGAGAUGGGGGCUGGGCACGGUGGCUCAUGCCUGUAAUCCCAGCACUUUGGGAGGUCAAGGUGGGAGGAUCACUUGAGGCCAGGAGUUCAAGACCAGCCUGAGCAACAUAGCAAGGCCUCCUACAAAAAAUUUUAAAAAUUAGCUGGGCAUGGUGACACCCACCUGUAGUCCCAGCUGCUUGGGAGGCUGAGGCAGGAGGAUUGCUUGAGCCCAGGAGUUUAAGGUUGCAAUGAGCUUCAAGUUUUUAUACCUUCAAUCAUACCAUUUGUGGCUUAGGAACCCCUAAUAUAUUACAUGGAGGGUAAUGUAGACACCAAGAAAAUGAUUGAAAACAAUUUAUGCCUAAAUACAUUUGUAUUCUUCUUUAGAGAAACCUAGUAGACAAACUAAAAGCUACUAAGCAAAUAAAUCAAGGUACUGUAUUUUACAAAAUGACUCAAUUUAUGCAUCAUUUAAAGAGUGUGGAUCCCUUGGGAACUUUAAACAUGGUUGCAUUAGUUAAACAGUUGCUUCAUUCAGAUCCCUCUAGGAACUUGGGCAGCACAAGGGAAGGGGGGCCUCUGUUCCUACUGUGUGGUCCUGGUGAUCUGUGUAGGUAUCUUCUUUUACCGGGUUAAGUGAUAAAAACGGUGUCUUGUGCUCUUUUAUCCAAGUCCAA
rnacentral:lncRNA from 1 species